GACAUUUGGUAGAGACUGUUGAAGCCACCUGGUCCCAGCAGACCCCAGAAGGCAGCCACAUUCGCUGGUGCUGGGGCAAGUUUGUUGAGGGUGAAGCCUGGUGCCAGAUGUGU
ensembl:rRNA 5S_rRNA 5S ribosomal RNA